rnacentral:rRNA from 1 species
UCAGACGAUGCGUCAUGCAUAUCAAUAAGCGGAGGAAAAGAAACUAACAAGGAUUCCCCUAGUAACGGCGAGUGAAGCGGGAAGAGCUCAAAUUUGAAAUCUUAAAGGGUUUCCCUUUACGAAUUGUAGUUUAAAGAAGUGUUUUCUGUUGAGGUUUUGGUAAAAAUUCUUUGGAAUAGGACAUCAUAGAGGGUGAGAAUCCCGUAUUUGACCUUUACUUUCAACUUUGUGAUACACUUUCAAAGAGUCGGAUUGUUUGGGAAUGCAGUCCAAAAUGGGUGGUAAAUUUCAUCUAAAGCUAAAUAUUGGCGAGAGACCGAUAGCGAACAAGUACCGUGAGGGAAAGAUGAAAAGAACUUUGAAAAGAGAGUUAAACAGUACGUGAAAUUGUCAAAAGGGAAGCGUUUGACACCAGUGUUGUUUUUCUGAAAAUCAAUUAAAGAACUGUUUAUGCUAAGCUGUUUAGACUUUAUCAGCUAUCUGUUUAGUUUUGAGCUUUUCUUUAAUGCACUUUUCAGUUAACAAGUCAACAUCAAUUUCUUUUGCUGUAAAAAAGCUUGAGGAAGGUGGCUUGAGAUUCGUCUUAAGUGUUUAUAGCCUCUUGCCUAUGCAGUCGGAGAGAUUGAGGUCUGCAGCGUAGAUCCUUCGGGGCUAAAUGCAUUUGUGCUAAGUUAUAGCAUUUUAUAGACAACUUGUUGACUAUGAUUUGUCUUGUAGCUUACUCGCUUAUGUUAUUUUACCUACGCUUAGGAUGUUGACACACGCGCGUGCUCG